UCAUCCUCCCGAUCUCCUCCCUCGCUGAAAAAUCCAGUCCUGCUCUAUCUCCCCCUCCUCCUUCUCCUCUGCGCCCGCUUCCGUCCGGGAUCAAACCCCCCCUCCCUCACGAGCUCCUCCUCAAUGCGCGGCUCUCUCGAUCCCGAUCCAUUCAGAGGGGCUGCCCCUUCUCUCCUCCGCUCGCCGCUUGGCCGUAGAAAAGAAGUCCGGGCAGGGGACAUGGCGGCCGCCGGUGGCAUUUUCCCAUCGCGCCUCGAUUUGGCCGCCUCGGCGGAGGCGCUCGCGGCCUGGAGGGUCGGCGCAGUGCCUCACCUUGGCCUGGAGGCUGGCCGCCAUGGAGCUCCCCUCGGCCUAGAACUGGGGCUUGACGGGGCCUCCCUGCCCAGUUCAUGGCCGCAGCCGUCUCGGCUGUGCACGCCGGCAUCGUGACGUGGUGGCCAGGCGCUGGUUGCUGCCUCACCCGACCCUAGCGUGCCCGAGGUGCCUGCAGGCCUCUUCGGCAUCUCUUCUCCUGGUUCGCUCUGUUUCCUCGUGGAUGCCAAAGGGGGUCGUAUUUUGUUACUAAUUACUAAGCGUUUUGGUGCAGCCCAUCCGUGGAUCAUCCCUUGCCAAUUUAAUUAUUAUCUACAUUGGUUUUUGAGCAUUAGAUCAAUUAACUGAACUGGCGUUGCUCCUCUUGUUGUGUCCCUACUGCUCGCUACUCUCCUUACCUGAUCUAAUCCCAUCUAGCCGUUGUAGUCUACCUUUACUCUGCCUCGCUGCUGUACAAUCUGCUCACUGCCGCUGUUGUUCCUCCUCUCCUACACCUCUUGCUGCUGCUCUUCUCCCACGAAACUGUUGCUCCUCUCUUCUCUCAACGCUCCCUGCUACCUCUUUUUCUUCCACCUGCUGAUGCUUCUCUUUAGAUCCACAAAACUGCUGCUCUUCUUCUCAAACAUCCUCUGCUGAAGCUCUUUUCCAAACUGCUGCUGCUCUCUUUCUUUCUCUUUCUCUCACUCUUUCUAUGUGCGCGUGUGUGUGUAGUUGCUGAUAGUUAUUAGUGGAUGCAAGAUCAACUAAAUUCAAAUCAGUAUUAGCUCUUUAUGUGUCUGUAUAUCAGCUUGUGUACUGUUCUGAACACCCAAUUUGUGUUUUUUAUGUAUUAGUUUCUGCAAUAUAUGUGAAAUUGUGAGUUGUUGGGAUGAUCAUUUUCAAUUAGACUUGUACUGUCAUACAUUGUGAGUCAUAUAUAUAUAUAUAUAUAUAUAUAUAUAUAUAUAUAUAUAUAUAUAUAUAUAUAAAUUCGUGAUUGUGGUUAAUUCUAGUAACUGUGGUAUUCCAUAUUUGUGAAUCUCCUGUACAAGUGAGUUCCAUUGUUAUAGAACUCAAUGCUGCUCUACAUCAUCUUAAAUGUCUGCUUGUGAACCAUGUACUAUAAUCUUGCCCCUUAUCCUUAAUGCUUGCCUGUGUUAGUAUUUUACUUUCUCAAGCAAAAUGAAACUACUAAAAAGGCAGAGAGUAUAAUCUGAACCUUCCCUUGCUUCUUUUCAUUUUCCUCGUCGUCGAUUUGCCGGAACAAUCUUAGUUAGUUUAGAUUUAUAUCUCCUUGCUAUCAUCAUCUGUAUUCUGUCACCUAGCUUUAGUCGAGCAUAGUCGCCGUCGUCUAGUCCCUGUGGGGAACACGACACUCGCAGUUCGGGUGAAAUAUCCCGCUGUACUUAUAAUCGAUCACAUAAUCAACAUAGAUUUAUACUUUUUGCUAUCGUUACAAGCUGAGCAUGAGUCAUGUUCUACAGCUUGACCUUGAGCUUCAUUCAGUUUGAGCUGCCUCAAAUUUUAAUAUGAGUUAAACUGAUUUGAUUUUAUGCCUGCUUAAUUUAUUGUGUUUCUUCUUAAAUUGACUCAAAAUUUUAUGUCUGGUUUACCUACACAAGGGCACAAUGAUGAAUUUUACGGAGGACGCUCCUGUCAAGAAAGGCUCUGUUCUCUUAACACGGAUGGAAAGUAUAACGUCAUACAAAAACCAACAUGGACAACCCAGAUCUGGAACUGCAGAACAAUCUGACACUCCAGUGUCUGCUAAUGACAUGUGUUUCCUUGCUGAAUGGCCAUCCCAUGCUCGCUGCAACCACGCGCUACUGCAGGAUGAAGCUGGUGGACAGAAGAAGAAAGGGCGAGGUGUUCUAAAGGGUUUUAAAGCAUCUAAGAAGCGUUUUGCCAAUGGAUCUGCAAAGCUAAAUAUUACAUUCUCUAAAAAAUUGGGUGGUACAGUAGGAAUGAACUAUCGUUCGUUCAAGGGUGACAUGGUAGUCAUAAUGAAAAGAAAGUUACCACUCAUUGGAGUGAGGACGUGGUCGGACAUUCACCCUACCAUUCAUCGACUCAUUGUUGCAGAUAUGAUAGACAGAUGGGACUUGGAAGAUACACCAGAAAUAGAAGAAAAAGUUCUCAAAAUUGCAAAAGAGAGAUGUAGAGGCUGGUGAUCAACUCUAAGCUCCACUUACAAGGCAUACAAAACAGAUGCAGCUAGAUUGGCUAAUCUGCCGGAAGAUUUACAACCAGAAGAGUGGGAAUGGAUGAUUGAGUACUUUGGCACUGAUUCAAAAUUUCAGGACCGCAGCCAAAAGAACGCCGAUAACCGUAAGAAACAGAAGACAAAACACAUAAUCAGAUCAAAAUCUUACUCGCAAGUUAGUUUUGAGAAGAGAAACUUGGAAACUGGAGAAGAGCCAGAUUGUAUUGCUCUAUGGGAACUCACCCACACAAACGAUGGAACAUGGUCUAACAUAGAUUCCUAGAAAGUUUACGACAAAGCACUUCAAGAGGUUAAAAACAAAGAAACUGAAACUGAAGGUCCACUUUCAAGUGAGCAGAAAAACAAUAUUUUCUAGACCGCUUGCAAAGACACUCUGGAAUGCAAGUCAUCGCAGCCUCGUGGGUACGGAUACGUGGCCAAAACUUCAACUGGUUCUGAAAGGUUCCGUAUCCAGAUUGAAGAGCAAGCUCGUGCUACAGCAGCCACCCAGGAGCGAAACUCUCAGCUCAGCCAGCGGGUCAACGACUUAGAAGAUCAACUACAAGCUGAACGUGCUAACACACAAGAGAGGAUUAACUUGGAGCGUGCUGAGAGAGAACAACUUGAGGAGAGGUUAAAAGAAGAGCAUGCUGAAAGGGAAAGAUUGUUGCAAGAGGAGCGAACAUCAAGACUGGAAUUUGAAAAAGACAUGAUGGCAAAGUUUGUAGAAUUGAGAAAACAGGUGGGAACCCAACAGGUGUCUACGAAGAGGGUUGACAAAGAAAAUAGUGAUCCAAACUUGCAAAAUAUUCUUUUACAGAGAUCUAGUCCUAAUAAGACUCCAGGUUCAAGGCCAACUGCUAUUUCUUCAAAUGCGCUCAUACAAGCUGCAGGAAGGCAAUCUCGAAUGUUUAAAGCAAUGUAUCUAUUGGCGCUGAUAUGGGGGUCGUGAGGGUCGUUUUUUAAACGGACUCGUAACUCCUGAUGGAAGCACUUAAUAUCAAUAAGGUGGACUCGUCGGCCUAUGCUGCUGUUAUUGAGGAUACCAAAUACCCGCUCAAAUUAUGGUUUUCUUAUUAUGAAAUUAAUGUAUGUCAUUGCUUCGCAAACUCUGUUGCUCAUGUCUUGGUAGGAUGUUAGAAUCUAACCAGUAUUUGGAAUGGGAGGCCGAUGUACCAGCCUUUGUGGCUGCCUGUGCUUUGGGUGAUUCAGCCUAGCACCGUUAAGUUAAAAGCAAUGUUUUUCUCAAAAAAGAAGCUUUUAGUAGAUGUACUUGUGGUUAUGCCUUAGACAUUUACACUUGUGUAGUUGUUAUGAUCCCUUAGUUACAUGCUUCCUGACACAGUAUUAGCCAAUGGGGCUGGAAUAAUUGUAUGGAGUAUCUUAUGUUCGACUCAUUAACUAGAACUUUUUUUAUUUCUUGAUUGGAGGAACCAAAGAACUAGCUGGACUGGACACUAGAUCACGGGCAGUUUAGUCUUCGAAGUUAAUUAGGAUGGCUAAAUUACAUUCGA